rnacentral:rRNA from 1 species
UACAGAGGUCUCAAGCGUUGUUCGGAUUUAUUGGGCGUAAAGGGUGUGUAGGUGGCGCGCUAAGUCGGGUGUGAAAUUUCGGAGCUUAACUCCGAAACUGCAUUCGAUACUGGCGUGCUUGAGGACUGGAGAGGAGACUGGAAUUCAUGGUGUAGCAGUGAAAUGCGUAGAUAUUCGGAGGAACACCGAUGGCGAAGGCAGGUCUCUGGGCUGACACUGACGCUCAUGCACGAAAGCGUGGGGAGCAAACAGG